CAUCCAAGGAAGGCACCCUAUUCCCUAGUGCUCGGGCUCUACUUCCGCUCCUUUCUGUGACCUGUCCCUCUGCUCCCACUACCCAUUCACUAUGCCCUUCGCCCCAAGCAUUAUGAAAUCAAUUACUUAUUACACUGCUAAGUAACGUCACUGCCUCGAAUCUCUUCCUCACUUGGGCCUCGGGAACGGUGGCUCAUCCAUCUUCAUUUCAGUGCAAGAUCCAAAUGCCUAGGUCUUAAAGUCAUCAUGACCUAAAACCAGGUCUAAUCAACUGUAACCAGAAGAAGGAGAAGACAUUUAUGUCCGUUUCCUGCAUAUGGUGGAAUCAUUUUCUUUGGCAGAAACAUGUCUCGUUCUUUUCUUGUGUCAGGCAGCAGAGCGGAUCACAGGACUACACUGGGCCAGGGCCGAGGCAGACAACCUGGCAAUCUCGCUAUUAUCCCCAUCCCCCUCCUGGCCUCUUGGCUGGAGGCAGAUUUUCCUUCCCUCCAGGAAAAACCCUCGUUCUUCUGCACGGAGUGCACUGCCCUCGCACAGGCUUUGAUUCAAAGAGUAAAUAUCCGUCAUUGCGCCAAUGGGGGAAAUACACGUCAGACAUUAAAUCCAAUGGAACUCUUCUUGGUAAUCAAAUUGUGAAUCUACUCAAUGCCAUGAGAUGAGCUUCCUGUCAUGAUCUGCCUUGCCACAGGCCCAAAAGCAAUAGGGCCUGCCUACCGUGGUCUGGAACAUGUGAAGUUGUGAGCCAAAAUAAACCUUUACUCUGAAAAAAAAGAAGACAGGAACCUCACUGUGCAUCAGGAAACAGGCCUGUAAUCUCAGCUACUAGCUACUCCAGAGGCUGAGGCAUGAGGACCACAAGUUUGAGGACAGCUGGGGAUGUAGCUCAAUGGUAAAGCACCCAUGGGUUUGACUCAUAAAAUCCUCAUUUACUGCUUCAGCCAGGUGAGAGAGAUAUUUUGAGGGAAAGGGUUAUUUUUGUUUUUGUUUUUAUAGCUUGCUGGGCAAACGCAGUGGCACGCCUGUGUAGGCUGAGGUAUGAGGAUCACUUGAGUUGAAGAUUUCA